rnacentral:rRNA from 1 species
GACGAACGCUGGCGGCGUGCUUAACACAUGCAAGUCGAACGGUAAGGCCCUUCGGGGUACACGAGUGGCGAACGGGUGAGUAACACGUGGGUGAUCUGCCCUGCACUUCGGGAUAAGCCUGGGAAACUGGGUCUAAUACCGGAUAGGACCACUGCCUGCAUGGGUGGUGGUGGAAAGCUUUUGCGGUGUGGGAUGGGCCCGCGGCCUAUCAGCUUGUUGGUGGGGUGAUGGCCUACCAAGGCGACGAAGGGUAGCCGGCCUGAGAGGGUGACCUGACACACUGGGAGUGGGAUACGGGCCAGACUCCUACGGGAGGCAGCAGUGGGGAAUAUUGGACAUUGGGAGCAAGGCUGAUGCAGCGACGCCGCGUGAGGGAUGACGGCCUUAGGGUUGUAAACCACUUUCAGCACCGACGAAGCGCAAGUGACGGUAGGUGCAGAAGAAGGACCGGCCCACUACGUGCCAGCAGCCGCGGUAA